UACGUAGGUGGCGAGCGUUGUCCGGAUUUACUGGGCGUAAAGGGAGCGUAGGCGGGCUUUUAAGUGAGAUGUGAAAUACUCGGGCUCAACUUGAGUGCUGCAUUUCGAACUGGAAGUCUAGAGUGCAGGAGAGGAGAAUGGAAUUCCUAGUGUAGCGGUGAAAUGCGUAGAGAUUAGGAAGAACACCAGUGGCGAAGGCGAUUCUCUGGACUGUAACUGACGCUGAGGCUCGAAAGCGUGGGGAGCAAACAGG
rnacentral:rRNA from 1 species